GACGAACGCUGGCGGCGUGCUUAACACAUGCAAGUCGAACGGAAAGGCCCUGCUUUUUUGGGGUGCGCGAGUGGCGAACGGGUGAGUAACACGUGAGUAACCUGCCCUUGACUUUGGGAUAACUUCAGGAAACUAGGGCUAAUACCGGAUAGGAGCUCCUGCUGCAUGGUGGGGGUGGGAAAGUUUCGGCGGUUGGGGAUGGACUCGCGGCUUAUCAGCUUGUUGGUGGGGUAGUGGCUUACCAAGGCUUUGACGGGUAGCCGGCCUGAGAGGGUGACCGGCGACAUUGGGACUGAGGUACGGCCCAGACUCCUACGGGAGGCAGCAGUGGGGAAUAUUGCACAAUGGGCGGAAGCCUGAUGCAGCAACGCCGCGUGCGGGAUGACGGCCUUCGGGUUGUAAACCGCUUUCGCCUGUGACGAAGCGUGAGUGACGGUAAUGGGUAAAGAAGCACCGGCUAACUACGUG
rnacentral:rRNA from 1 species